UACAGAGGGUGCGAGCGUUAAUCGGAAUUACUGGGCGUAAAGCGCACGUAGGUGGCGACGUAAGUCGGGUGUGAAAGCCCCGGGCUCAACCUGGGAAUUGCAUUCGAGACUGCAUUGCUGGAAUACGGAAGAGGAAGGCGGAAUUCCCGGUGUAGCGGUGAAAUGCGUAGAUAUCGGGAGGAACAUCAGUGGCGAAGGCGGCCUUCUGGUCCAGUACUGACACUCAAGUGCGAAAGCGUGGGGAGCAAACAGG
rnacentral:rRNA from 1 species